rnacentral:rRNA from 1 species
GAUGAACGCUGGCGGCGUGCCUAAUACAUGCAAGUCGAGCGAACGGACCAGAAUCUUGCUCCUCUGAUUUUAGCGGCGGACGGGUGAUUAACACUUGGAUAACCUACCUAUAAGACUGGGAUAACUUCGGGAAACCGGAGCUAAUACCGGAUAAUAUUUUGAACCGCAUGGUUCAAAAGUUAAAGACGGUCUUGCUGUCACUUAUAGCUGGAUCCGCGCUGCAUUAGCUAGUUGGUAAGGUAACGGCUUACCAAGGCAACGAUGCAUAGCCGACCUGAGAGGGUGAUCGGCCACACUGGAACUGAGACACGGUCCAGACUCCUACGGGAGGCAGCAGUAGGGAAUCUUCCGCAAUGGGCGAAAGCCUGACGGAGCAACGCCGCGUGAGUGAUGAAGGUCCUCGGAUCGUAAAACUCUGUUAUUAGGGAAGAACAUAUGUGUAAGUAACUGUGCACAUCUUGACGGUACCUAAUCAGAAAGCCACGGCUAACUACGUG